GAAUAUGUAAAAAUUCAUUUAUACAUAGAAGACUCGUUCAGGCAACCACCGAGAAGAGAUGGCAUGAUCUGGAGACAUCGUACAUGCAUGCCACCUAUUAAUCUACUUGAAGAAGUAUGGGAGGUCGAGCACGUAGAGGAGGAAGUAUGCCCAGACGGCGCCGGAUACACCGCCGAAGAAGAAGCCUCCGGUGAACUGCGACCACCCUUCGGCGGUCUGGAGCUUGUCGGCCUCCUUCUUGCGUCCGGUGAGGGUGAGCACCGGCGCGGUGGACGGCUCGCCCUCGUUGAAGGAGGCGACGCCGUACAUGGUGAGGCAGACGCUGAGGAUGGAGACGAGUCCGAUGGCGCCGAGUGUGCCGGCCUGUCCGUGCACGGGCGUGUUGCGGAGCGGGCCAGUGAGCGCGAAGGGGCCGACGAGGAGGUAGCCAUGGGCGAGGCCGACCUCGAUGCCGCGGAGGAGCGGGCUGACGGCGGUGCGGUAGGCGGGGAGGUUGGAGAGGUACCACGCGACGAGGGGGCUGGAGGUGACCGGCGUCUCCAGGCUGCCGAUGAACGGGUCGCCGUUGAUGGGCUGGACCACUUGGUACGUCGGCUGAGAGGAAACACCAAAACAUGUAUGAGAUGCAAAGCAAGGCCUACAACAAGCUAAACCCUACUUGUAUCCCACAAAUUGUGGUUUGUUUUGGAUGAAUAAAUCUCUGUUCGUCCUAAAAAACAACACGCUAAACCUUAAUUUUAGCUCUCUCUUGCAUGCAAUUGCAAGUUUGCGACUGACCUUGUCAGACUUGACAGCCUUGACGACGAAGCGGGGCCUCCGGGUGAGCGAAGCGCCGGACAUGCCCCGCGGCUUGGAGCACGCCAAGCCGCUCUUCAUCACCUGGCUCGCCAUGGGAGGAGCAUAUGCAGUGGCCAUCUCGAUGUCCUCCUUCGACUCCCACACGCUCAACUCUGCUCUGCCUGCAGCGUCAAAUGGAUGGAUGUGUUACAAGAAGAAGAUCUGUCCAGAUGGCAAGAUGUUUUAGUGGCUCCAAGGGAGAGGGG
rnacentral:lncRNA from 1 species